AUUUUUUUUAUUUCAAACAGUGCUACCCACUCUCAGCGCCACACCUCGAUGUCGUCAAGGCGAGGGGGCGAAUCCGACGGCGGCGAUUCUCCUCGCCGGCGGGAGGAGGCCAAGAGCACGACUCCUCGGCUGCAGCCGGGCGCAGCCGGCGGGCGCAGUGUGGCGCCCUCCGCUGAGAUGUCAUCGAGGGGAUGGGGUGAAUCUGGCGGCGACGAUUCGCUUCGGCUGCAGGGGGAUUCCAGCUCGCGCAAAAUGGCUAAAAGCCGGCCGGACAACAUCGCUGCAGCCAGGCUCAGCCAGCGAGCAUGUUGCGGCGUCCUCCGCCGCCGCCGUGGAGACAGGCUUGGAGUUCAGCAAGGUUGACGGCGAGGCGCACGCACCCGCUCCCCUGUGCUUGGCAAGGCACCAACAGUUGUUCUGUGUUCAUCAAGCAAGGAUGCGCUGAAUCGCAUUGCAGUUGCUGGUGGUCUUGAUUUGGAUCCAAAAAGGUCAGGCGUCGAGAUCCAAAAAAGCAAGCAAAUAAUCAAUCCGCAAUGGGGGGCAGGGUGAUCAAUGAUGUGUUCAGCUUUUUGACUAGUGACAGAAGUACAUAUAUAUGUAUUCAGAUAUAGGUCCUACAACAUGCUAACAAUUUUAGAUAUCUGUGCACUUAGUUUUGUUAAAAGCUCAGAUAGCAGAGGCACAGAUCUCACAUUCAGAUGUCACUAUGUUUAAUUACUGCUCUUACUCUAGUCAAGAUGCAGGGGCAAGAUUAAAUGUUUCAUACCAAGCAAAUGCAAGUUUUGUUGUGACAUCCUGCAGCAACCUAGUUUAAUGUUUCAUACUAUGUUUAAUUCCUAGUUAUUUUACUAGUUUUAAUUUGUUAGA